UGGGGAAUAUUGGACAAUGGGGGCAACCCUGAUCCAGCGAUGCCGCGUGGGUGAAGAAGGCCUUCGGGUUGUAAAGCCCUUUAGGUUGGGAAGAAGUGUAUAUGAGGAUAAUGCGUAUACGUUGACGGUACCGACAGAAUAAGCACCGGCAAACUCUGUGCCAGCAGCCGCGGUAAUACAGAGGGUGCGAGCGUUAAUCGGAAUUACUGGGCGUAAAGGGCGCGUAGGCGGUUGUGUGAGUGUGAUGUGAAAGCCCCGGGCUUAACCUGGGAAGCGCAUCGCAAACUGCACAGCUAGAGUAUAUGAGAGGGUGGCGGAAUUUCCGGUGUAGCGGUGAAAUGCGUAGAGAUCGGAAGGAACGUCAAUGGCGAAGGCAGCCACCUGGCAUAAUACUGACGCUGAGGCGCGAAAGCGUGGGGAGCGAACA
rnacentral:rRNA from 1 species